AUUGAACGCUGGCGGAAUGCUUUACACAUGCAAGUCGAGCGGCAGCGCGGGGGCAACCCUGGCGGCGAGCGGCGAACGGGUGAGUAACAUAUCGGAACGUACCCCGUCGUGGGGGAUAACACAGCGAAAGCUGUGCUAAUACCGCGUACGACCUGAGGGUGAAAGCGGGGGAUCGCAAGACCUCGCGCGAUGGGAGCGGCCGAUAUCGGAUUAGCUUGUUGGUGAGGUAAAGGCUCACCAAGGCGACGAUCCGUAGCUGGUCUGAGAGGACGACCAGCCACACUGGAACUGAGACACGGUCCAGACUCCUACGGGAGGCAGCAGUGGGGAAUUUUGGACAAUGGGGGCAACCCUGAUCCAGCCAUUUCGCGUGAGUGAAGAAGGCCUCGGGUUGGUUAAAGACGUACUUUCUAGCAGGAACGAAACGGUAGG
rnacentral:rRNA from 1 species